UUUCUUCUCCUUUCCUUCUCCAACAGUGCUGCAAUCUCUCCUUCUUCCCCGAUUGCAACCAAAACGGCGACGCCUCGACCACCUAGCCUCUCAACUAUGAGGACAAUCAAUCUGGCAAUCAGAGUUCGCCACAAUAAGGAUGCAAACGACUCAGGACAAUUUUACUCGACUCCGGAAAAGUUACAACUCCGACGAAGGAACCCCAACGAUUGUCGAUUUCUCUACUUCGACAGUGCUCUUUGACGUAAGUCACUUGGGCGUACUGGCCUCAUGUAAGAGCUGGAACUGACACGAAUAUGGGUCUGC